CCUAAGGUAGCGAAAUUCCUUGUCGGGUAAGUUCCGACCUGCACGAAUGGCGUAACGACUUCCCCGCUGUCUCGACCAGGAGCUCGGCGAAAUUGCAGUACGAGUAAAGAUGCUCGUUAAGCGCAGAAGGACGAAAAGACCCCGGGACCUUUACUAUACCUUGGUAUUGGCGUCAGUCGCGGAUUGUGUAGCAUAGGCGGGAGGCUUCGAGGCGCGGGCGCCAGCCCGCGCGGAGCCGCAAGGUGAAAUACCGCUCUGUUCUCGUUUGACGUCUCACCUCGAACGGUCAUCCUGUUCAGGGACAGUGCCUGGCGGGUAGUUUAACUGGGGCGGUUGCCUCCCAAAGAGUAACGGAGGCGCUCAAAGGUCCGCUCAGCCCGGUUGGCAAUCGGGUGUCGAGUGCAAUCGCACAAGCGGGCUUGACUGCGAGGACGGCGGUCCGAGCAGGGACGAAAGUCGGAGAUAGUGAUCCGGUGCCGGCGCACGGGCGCGGCAUCGCUCAACGGAUAAAAGGUACCCCGGGGAUAACAGGCUGAUCAUUCCCAAGAGUCCAUAUCGACGGGAUGGUUUGGCACCUCGAUGUCGGCUCGUCGCAUCCUGGGGCUGGAGCAGGUCCCAAGGGUUCGGCUGUUCGCCGAUUAAAGCGGCACGCGAGCUGGGUUCAGAACGUCGUGAGACAGUUUGGUCUCUAUCCUCUGCGCUCGUUGGAAUCCUGGGGAGGCCUGCCCAUAGUACGAGAGGACCUGGGUGGACGAACCUCUGGUAUGCCGGUUGUCGCGCCAGCGGCACGGCCGGUUGGCUACGUUCGGGAGGGAUAACCGCUGAAAGCAUCUAAGCGGGAAGCCUGCUCCGAGAUUAGGAUUCCUUACGGUCUUGAACCGUUGAAGCCCGCAUGUGGAACACGUGUUUGAUAGGCCGGAGGUGGAAGCCCCGCGAGGGGUGGAGCCGACCGGUACUAACGGGCGACGGCGACAUAGC
rnacentral:rRNA from 1 species